AACAGAAUGGCUUUUUGGCUGAGAAGGCUGGGUCUACAUUUCAGGCCACAUUUGGGGAGACGAAUGGAGCCAUUCCUGGGAGGUGUUUUGCUGAUUUUGUGGCUUCAAGUGGAUUGGGUGAAAAGCCAAAAGAUAGAACAGAAUUCCGAGGCCCUGAACAUUCAGGAGGGCAAAACGGCCACCCUGACCUGCAACUACACAAACUAUUCUCCAUCAUACUUACAGUGGUACCGACAAGAUUCAGGAAGAGGCCCUGUUUUCUUGCUACUCAUACGUGAAAAUGAGAAAGAAAAAUGGAAAGAAAGACUGAAGGUCACCUUUGAUACCACCCUUAAACAGAGUUUGUUUCAUAUCACAGCCUCCCAGCCUGCAGACUCAGCUACCUACCUCUGUGCU